GCUGAGGUGGGGAGCAAAAUGGGAGGCCCAAAUGAAUGUGGAGGGAGGAGAAACUUGGAAAGGAUAAAAGCCCAAUCCAAAACUAUAUUGAAGUGAUAUCACUUGUCAUCACAAAAACAAUCACAACAUCAGCCAGUCGCCGGAGAAACUUAAACAACCCAAAAACAAACAGAAAAAAAAAAAUGGUGCUGCUGAAGGGACAGCCUUUGGUCGCAAGACUGGCUGCUUUUUCCAAAUACGUAGUCCUUCCUGGAUCCAUGGUUGCUGCUAUUAUUUACUCCCCUCCCAAUUAUGAUUCUCCCAAGAAGGGCAAAUCCCCUAAUUAAUUUUUCUCUCCUGGUAUCUUUUUCCAUUAAUGGGGUUUUCUGCAAGAUGUCACCUGCAUACUGUUUCUAGGUUUGUAGAGAGUUGAACGCAUUUUAUUUGCCUUUAGAAGAACUUUUCUGUUAUGAAUCUUCCCUUCUUCUCAGACUUUGUCAAAAGAAUAAGAUAUUAUGUAAUGAAUACAAGAAUGCCCCAUUCGUAACCCUGCCGAAUAAUUUGGAUUAUUAUGUUGUUAA